rnacentral:rRNA from 1 species
GGUAGUAACACGUGGAUAACCUACCUAUAAGACUGGGAUAACUUCGGGAAACCGGAGCUAAUACCGGAUAAUAUAUUGAACCGCAUGGUUCAAUAGUGAAAGACGGUUUUGCUGUCACUUAUAGAUGGAUCCGCGCCGCAUUAGCUAGUUGGUAAGGUAACGGCUUACCAAGGCAACGAUGCGUAGCCGACCUGAGAGGGUGAUCGGCCACACUGGAACUGAGACACGGUCCAGACUCCUACGGGAGGCAGCAGUG